rnacentral:rRNA from 1 species
UACGGAGGGGACUAGCGUUGUUCGGAAUUACUGGGCGUAAAGCGCACGUAGGCGGAUUUGUUAGUCAGGGGUGAAAUCCCGAGGCUCAACCUCGGAACUGCCUUUGAUACUGCAAAUCUCGAGUCCGGAAGAGGUGAGUGGAAUUCCUAGUGUAGAGGUGAAAUUCGUAGAUAUUAGGAAGAACACCAGUGGCGAAGGCGGCUCACUGGUCCGGUACUGACGCUGAGGUGCGAAAGCGUGGG